UUGAGCGUUUAUAAUAAACACGAAUACCCGCAUCGAUAUACGAAAUAUCGAAUGACAGUGAUUGAUCAAAUGUCAACAGACACAAAUCUGAUAGUGGGAUGACAGCCCCACAAACCACCACGACUUACCAGAUGCGCCACAAACCGCCAUGGCUUACCAGAUGCGCCACAGACCGCCACGGCUUACCAGAUGCUCCACAAACCGCCACGGCUUACCAGAUGCACCACAAACCACCACGGCUUACCAGAUGCGCCACAAACCACCACAGCUUACCAGAUGCGCCACAAACCACUAUGGCUUACCAGAUGCGCCACAAACCACCAUGGCUUACCAGAUGCGCCACAAACCACCACGGCUUACCAGAUGCGCCACAAACCUCCAUGGCUUACCAGAUGCUCCACAAACCACCACGACUUACCAGAUGCGCCACAAACCACAACUUACCAAAUGCACCACAUACCACCAUGGCUUACCAGAUGCACCACAAACCACUACGACUAACCAGAUGCGCCACAAACCACCACGACUAAUCAGAUGCUCCACAUACCACCACGACUAACCAGAUGCGCCACAAACCACCACGACUUACCAGAUACGCCACAAACCACCACGACUAACCAGAUGCGUCAGAAAUCACCACGACUUACCAGAUGCGCCACAUACCACCACGGCUUACCAGAUGCGCCACAAACGAACAGACUGCUCCUAUAUGAUAUAGACUUACGUUCCAAUGUCAGUGUCACAGGACAGUUUGUAAAGAUCUAAGUUACUUAUUUCAUAGCUCUUGUUCUAUGAGUCUAGAUACAUGUAAGAUUGUAAAAUGUAGGUUUAAGGUACUCAAUGUAUAACGAACAUAUUUCAUUUCUAAUAAAUGAAUGGUAUUUU